GUGUGGCGCGUUUGCGGGUAAGGAUAGGUAAUGAGGCGGUACUCGGUUAGACAGAGACUACUGUUUCAAAAACAAAGCUUCCAUUUAUUGAUCGAUAAGAGAGUCCUUUACAAACAUAUUCCCGACAAUAAUGAGAGGAAAAUACCUUGAAAUAAGAAAAAGUCCAAUUAAAUGUUCGGUGGAGACAAUGAGGAUGAUGGAGACGGAGAGGGAGGCCAGAUAACUGGAGACGAUUCUGAGGUACUCGAUGAAGGCGGACGAUGAAUAAAUUCGGCGAUGAAGAUUUUCAGUGGCUCUUCGGCAGAAGCGUGCGAUGGUUUUUACACUUUUCCCGGUUGCAUUUCCUUCUUCGAUGACCGUUUUCGGCCGAUGACAGUUCCUCUCCCGACGACUUGCAUCUGUCUUUCUUGGUCCGACUUCUUUUCUAUUGUCCCCCUCAUAAAGUCUCCCACGACCGUUUUUAUACUGUCUUUCUUAUCUCUGACCUUUCACCUCUCGACAAGAAGACGAUUGCCAGAUAUUUGGUCCUUUGUUUCUAACGCGACACCUGUGUUUAUAUUCUAACAUGAUUUAAUUCAAUCGGGGACACAUGUUCGCGGGCUGGGUUUCAUAUGACCACAUGUCAC
rnacentral:lncRNA from 1 species